AUGGCGGCGCGCGGGCAGGGGCAGGUGCAAGAUUUCGACUUCUUCGUGGUGGUCGACUUCGAGGCGACGUGCGUGAAAGACGGGAGGAUCUUCCCGCAGGAAAUCAUCAAGUUCCCCGCCGUGCUCGUCGACGGCGCCACCGGCCGCAUCGAGUCGGCGUUUCGCAGGUACGUUCGUCCAAAACAUCACCCUGUGCUGACUCAAUUUUGCAGGGAACUCACCGGCAUCCGGCAGGAGGACGUCGACAGCGGCGUGGAUCUCGGCGAGGCGCUCUGGCUGCACGAGGCUUGGCUGAAGGCGGCGACGGCGGGGGCAGGGAGCUUGGCCGUCGUGACCUGGGGAGAUUGGGAUUGCCGCACCAUGCUCGAGUCAGAGUGCCGCUUCAAGGGGAUCGAGAAGCCGUCCUACUUCGAUCGCUGGAUCAACCUGAGGGUCCCCUUCCAGGCGGCGCUCGGCGGCGGAGGGCGGGUCACCCUUCAGGAGGCGGUCCGGGCGGCGGGACUGGACUGGGAGGGCCGCCUGCACUGCGGGUUGGAUGACGCGCGCAACACGGCGCGGCUUCUUGUUGAGCUCAUGUUGCGUGGGGUCAAGAUGACCAUCACGGGCUCGCUGGCGCCAUCGCCGCCGAUCCAGCAGCAGCCGCAGCAGCUUCUCACAAGCCCUUGCGGUGGCUCAUCUGCGCUGGCGCCGCCGCCGCCGAUCCAGCAGAAGCAGCAGUCGCCGCAGCUUCGCACAAGCCCUUGCGGUGGCUCAUCGGCGCUGGCGCCGCCGCUGAUCCAGCAGCAGCAGCAGCCGCCGCAGCCUCACAUGAUAAGCCCCUGCGAUGGCUUGCCUGGGACGUGCUUCUGCUACUGCAGGGUACCGACCAGAGGAGGCGUGGUGUCCGUGCCAGGGCCGAUGCAGGGGAAGUGCUUCUUCGGGUGUGGCAACUGGACGCCGGCCAUGGGACCCGUCUGCCCCUACUUACUUCGUAUGGACCAACUGAAUGAACCACCCAUGGCACCAGGUUCAGUGUAUCUCAGCUGUUAG
rnacentral:rRNA from 1 species